GACGAACGCUGGCGGCGUGCCUAAUACAUGCAAGUCGAACGAGAGCGACCGGUGCUUGCACUGGUCAAUCUAGUGGCGAACGGGUGAGUAACACGUGGGUAACCUGCCCAUCAGAGGGGGAUAACAUCCGGAAACGGAUGCUAAAACCGCAUAGGUCUUCGAGCCGCAUGGCUUGAAGAGGAAAAGAGGCGCAAGCUUCUGCUGAUGGAUGGACCCGCGGUGCAUUAGCUAGUUGGUGAGGUAACGGCUCACCAAGGCCGUGAUGCAUAGCCGACCUGAGAGGGUGAUCGGCCACAUUGGGACUGAGACACGGCCCAAGCUCCUACGGGAGGCAGCAGUAGGGAAUCUUCCGCAAUGGACGCAAGUCUGACGGAGCAACGCCGCGUGAGUGAAGAAGGUGUUCGGAUCGUAAAACUCUGUUGUUAGAGAAGAACAAGUGCUAGAGUAACUGUUAGCGCCUUGACGGUAGCUAACCAGAAAGCCACGGCUAACUACGUG
rnacentral:rRNA from 1 species